GUUUGUGGAUGAUGAUAAAAAAACACGUCACAAUUAUCCCUGUCUGAUAUAUUUGUGCUGACCUUUUGUGAUCUGACACACAC